rnacentral:rRNA from 1 species
CCUACGGGUGGCUGCAGUGAGGAAUAUUGGUCAAUGGGCGAGAGCCUGAACCAGCCAAGUCGCGUGAGUGAGUACUGCCCUAUGGGUUUUAAGCCUCUUUUGUCGGGGAGCAAAAGCCGGACGUGUCCGGCUGUGAGAGUACCCGAACAAGAAGCAUCGGCUAACUCCGUGCCAGCAGCCGCGGUAAUACGGAGGAUGCGGGCGUUAUCGGGAUUUGUGGGGUUUAAAGGGUGCGCAGGCGGAUUUUUAAGUCAGCGGUAAAAUCGUGGGGAUCAACCCCAUCCAGCCGUUGAUACUGGGGAGCUAGAGUGUGCGAGAGGGAUGUGGAAUGCGUGGUGUAGCGGUGAAAUGCAUAGAUAUCACGCAGAAUACCGAUUGCGAAGGCAGCAUACUGGUGCAAAACUGACGCUCAGGUACGAAAGCGUGGGUAUCGAACAGGAUUAGAUACCCCGGUAGUC